UAACGACUGAACCAGCAAUUUGGGGGAAUGUUAAUAUGUAAAGCAUAUGUUGAUUUAUUCAAUUAAAGUUCUGGCAAGUUAAUGAUAAUGACAAUUACUUGUUUAUAAGUCUUGACCAAAUCUUGUGCCAGCUGUCGCGGCAAGACAAGAAAGGCUGCGUUAUUCAUCUUUAAUAGGUUUAAAGGGUACCUAGACGGUAAAUCAACUAAAAAAAAAGUAAUUUACUAGAGUUAAUAUACUAAGAGUUUAGAAUUGAUGGUGGUAAAGAUAAUAUUUAUUGAUACCAUGAAGGACUGAUAAAAGCGAAGGCAAUUCUUUAGUAUUAACUGACGUUGAGGGACGAAGGCUCGGGUAGCAAACAGGAUUAGAUACCCUAAUAGUCCGGGCAGAAAAUUAUGAAUGUCAUAGACCAAUAAUAGGUCUAUAAAUGAAAGUGUAAACAUUCCACCUCAAGAGUAAUGUGGCAACGCUGGAACUGAAAUCAUUAGACCGUUUCUGAAACCAGUAGUGAAGUAUGUUAUUUAAUUCGAUAAUCCACGAAAAACCUUACCACAACUUCCUUGAUUAUUUGUAUAAUUAAUAUAGAACAAGUGUUGCACGGCUGUCUCAAGUUAAUGUCGUGAGAGAGAGAUUAUCACAUCCUUAAAAUUAACGUAAACCCUUAUUUUAUUUGAUGUAAUAAAAU
rnacentral:rRNA from 1 species